GACGAACGCUGGCGGCGUGCUUAACACAUGCAAGUCGAACGCGCCUGUCCUCUGGGUUUCUGGGGGGUGGGUGAGUGGCGAACGGGUGAGUAACACGUGAGUAACCUGCCCCCUUCUUCGGGAUAACGGUCUGAAAGGGCUGCUAAUACCGGGUAUUCACUGGUCUCCGCAUGGGGUCUGGUGGAAAGGUUUUUUUCUGGUGGGGGAUGGGCUCGCGGCCUAUCAGCUUGCUGGUGGGGUGAUGGCCCACCAAGGCUUUGACGGGUAGCCGGCCUGAGAGGGUGACCGGUCACAUUGGGACUGAGAUACGGCCCAGACUCCUACGGGAGGCAGCAGUGGGGAAUAUUGCACAAUGGGCGCAAGCCUGAUGCAGCGACGCCGCGUGAGGGAUGGAGGCCUUCGGGUUGUGAACCUCUUUCGCCCGUGGUCAAGCCGCGACGUGGGUCGUGGUGAGGGUAGUGGGUAAAGAAGCGCCGGCUAACUACGUG
rnacentral:rRNA from 1 species